rnacentral:lncRNA from 1 species
GGAAGGAUUAACCGAGAAAUUCGGUAUUUAAACAUAAGCAACUCAAUGAUUAGCCAGAUGUGUCAACGCAUCUGGAACACUAUAACAUAACCAACAUGUAGAAAGAUAGAUUUUCCUUUGAUCCUUUCCUCAAUUAUAGAAAAAAUUUAUGUACAAUAAAUUGUGAUUAAGUUCAUGUUUAUCAAAACAAACUUGAUAAGUUGUGGCUGUGGUUCUUUCUUCAAUCGUUAUCAACAACCACAGUCCACAGACGUAGAAAUUGAUAAGUCAAAUUCACAAGUGGUUUAAUAAAGACGACGACGACAACAACAAUAAUAGUAAUAAGAGGGUGAAGUUAGAAGAAGAACCUAAGGAUCCAAGAGCAAUGCCAAGGAUGAGCAAAGCAACCGUGUAAGGGACUCUAGUCCCACGCAGAAGGUGUCUACAAGCAAUUCCAAGAGCAAGACUGAGACCAAAGAAGAUAACUGCAUCUGAUGGAUUUGAUUCAUUCUCUGAAGAAGGAGGAGAAGAAGCUGAAGCUGAAAGGGAAUAGGAAAGCGGUUGUUGCUGGUCCAUGAUUCUGUAGGUAGGUAGUGAUUCUUCUUCCAUCAACAACAACAACGACAUAUCAUAUACAAGAUGAAGAUGAAGAUGAAGAUAAGUUAGGUCGUGCUUGUUGACAGUGCUUGCUGCGUUAUUUAUUUAUCUAGGAAAAUGAUUUGCCCACUUAAAUUUCAGACUUUUUGUUUUUUCUGCCUGCCUCUCAAAUGAAUUAAAUAAGAUUAAGUAACAACAAGAGGGAUUUUGAUCAAAACAUAUGUAAAUUUAAAAUUGAUUAUUUCUUGGUGUUAUUUGAACAAUCAAUUGGUGACAACUUAUUU